GACGAACGCUGGCGGCGUGCUUAACACAUGCAAGUCGAACGAUGAACUCCAGCUUGCUGGGGGGAUUAGUGGCGAACGGGUGAGUAACACGUGAGUAACCUGCCCUGGACUCUGGGAUAACCCCGAGAAAUCGGAGCUAAUACCGGAUAGGACCUUGGAUCGCAUGAUUCUUGGUGGAAAGUUUUUCGGUUUGGGAUGGACUCACGGCCUAUCAGCUUGUUGGUGAGGUAAUGGCUCACCAAGGCGUCGACGGGUAGCCGGCCUGAGAGGGUGACCGGCCACACUGGGACUGAGACACGGCCCAGACUCCUACGGGAGGCAGCCGUGGGGAAUAUUGCACAAUGGGCGCAAGCCUGAUGCAGCAACGCCGCGUGCGGGAUGACGGCCUUCGGGUUGUAAACCGCUUUUAGUAAGGAAGAAGGGGCUUCGGCCUUGACGGUACUUGCAGAAAAAGGACCGGCUAACUACGUGCCAGCCGCCGCGGUAAAAC
rnacentral:rRNA from 1 species